rnacentral:lncRNA from 1 species
CACACAGCAUAUACCACAGCUUUUUCUAGUUUAAGACUAAUCUCUUCAGGGUUUUCUCUUGUUCUAAAUCUGUUCAGGCUGACUUCUGCUCCACAGAGAGAGCCAUAAACAAGGCAAUGAAGCAGAGCGUCUAAGAAAUUAAAAGAGAAAUACAAAGGGGGAGAAAAAAAAAAAAAAAUAAUAAUAAAAAGAAGCCGUGAGCCAGGAGUAAACCCAUUUGCUCUCAUCUCCUCCGCAAGGUGGCUGUGCUGCUCCCCGGACACAGCGGGGUGCUCAGGUUUGUUUUUCCCAAACCCGUUGCUCCUGGGAAGCUGCAGAAACAUUCCCAAAGCGUUCUUCUCUGAAAACUAUCCCGCUGCAGCCCCAAACUUUGGCUUCCACAGGAGGAAGCGUUUCACCUGCAGCGCACCCCGCUGCCGCUGCACCCCGCAACAACGCUGGGCAGGGAAAGGGGUGCGGGACACACACGGAAUUGCCACCCCAGCACAGCACAGCCAGGCUCCCCUGGCUGCAAAACAUGUUUGUUUGUUUGUUUUUUUAAUCGUGGUUUGUUUGUUUGUUCCGUUUGUUGAGGGUUUUAAAAAAUUAUUUAUGUAUUGUUUAUUCCUUCCAUCUCUUUCAGGAGGCUUUGGGGGGCCUCUCUCCCCUCGCAGCGUGGUCGCGAUGAUCGGGAAUAAACCCCCCCUUCGCCGCCUGUCACUCCGUGGCACGGCACCGCUGCAGCCCGCAAACAGCCCCCAGCCCUGGCCGGUGCCCCGGCGGGAUGGAAUUCCAUCUGCCGGCAGCAGGGACACAGCCCCGGCCCCGCCGAGCCGCGGAGGCACCGCCGGCGGGACGCGGCCCCCGCGCCCACAUCAACCCUUACCUGAACUCCUCUGCGAGCCGGGGGGCAGCAAAGGCCACGGGCGACCAGAAGAACGCAACAACAACAACGAAAACGAGAUUUCCUGGGAAGGUGCAGCCUGGGAUAUCAGAAUGCAGUCCUGUGACAACACAUCUGUGCACCCUUUUGUGAGGGCACAUGGGACAGCACACCCUUCCUGCUCCCCACAGCAGGCCUCACUGUCCUGCAGGGGAAAUGAAGUAUUAUUCUCAUUUUAUGGGGAAACAGAGGCACAGAGGCUCAAACAAAAGGUCUGUGGCAGAACCAAGAUGCAAUCUCAUCUCUUUUCAAAUCCAGCUCAAUUUAAACUCGCAAAAAUAUCCUCCAUCUGCAUUUCUUCAGAAUUGCCAGUAACACAUCCCACAGCCUGGCAAACAUAAACCAGUCCCUUCGAAGGGGGACAUUCAGCCUCAACAAGUCCUGGCCAGGCAGCAGCACAGGGAUGACCCUACAGGUGCUCCUUCAUCCUGCUGGGGACCAUCGAAGGAACUGGGGGUGUUCAGGGCUCUGCUCUCAUGCACAGACCUCGUUCUUCCUCUCCACAUUGUCUCAAUGAAUAAUGCAUGAAUACAUAUUCAUCAAAAUCCCAGAUACUAUAUUUGUACAAAUACAUCAGGGCCAAACUCUGCAUUAGUGUAACUUCACUGACGUAAAAAGGAUUACGUUGGUAAAAAUGUGGGCCUUAAAUAUUUUUACCCAAAAUAGAUGUUUGGCAAACCUCGCUUUUCUGCUUUUCUCAAUUAAACCCCCUUUGUUUCCUGAGUAGGUGAAGUUUAGUGUGAUUUAGCAAUGCAAUGGACAUUAAAUUUAGAUACAGCUAAAAUCUAAGCCAACAAGGCUGGGCUUUAAUGGAAUUUGAACACGUACAAAAUUUCCUUGUAAUGUUUAUCACAUGAAAACGACCAAAAGUUGCAAUCCUAAUUUUAUCAUUACUAUAACCUACCUAGGCACUGGGACAUGUUAGUGGUUUCUCUAACUUGCGUUUUUCCACUUGCAAACGGCAACAUCUUCAUAUUUUAGUCACCGUAGUUCUGAACUUUCUUUAAAUUGCUAGAGAUGCAGUGAAGUCCCAUAUUUACCUUAAGUGGAAAUAAAAUGGUGUUUUCCCAGUUCUGCUUUUCA